UCCUAGUGGACUUAUAAUUUUGUCUAUAUAUGUAAGUACCCAUAUUGACCACAAUUUGUAAUAUUAAGGACUUUCAUACACUCUUCCAAAAUCAAGCAUGCAUUCUAAGUUAGCUUUGCUUGUUUCUCUUGCCCUCCUCUUUAUUGCGAGCACUUCCUAUGCGAGGCCUAGUCCCAGACAGUACUGGCAUGUCACGAAAGGUGAGGCAAUGCCAAUGUUUCAAGACUUCGAUACGAUGAAUUAUGAUGCAGGUCUCCUGUACCACGGAUCAGCUCUAGCGGAAGAUAAAUUUGUGCAGGACAGUGUGCAUGAGAAGCUAGAUUUUGGUGACGAUCGUAAUGAUUCUUAUUUGAAAAGGAAGUCCAGUGAUGAGUCUGGUUAGAUACUAGAUGAAUUUAUCUAUCAGGGUAAUUCUACAGUUUGCAUGAUUAUUAUAAGUCAAAUAUUGUGUUGUCUGAUUUAUUAUUUGUCCUCAGCUAGCUAGGUAGCUGAGAAUAGAAAGUGUGAGUCUUUAAGUUGAUUAGUGUGGAUGUGUACCAAUAUGAUCAGCUAGUUCCUCUAAUAUUCUUGAAUUUGUGUUGGAAUAAAAAUAUUAAUUAUUGUCUGGUUUCUUAGAACA